GUUGGUAGGUGUGGUUGGUGGUGUCAGCUGUGUUUGUAAAUACUGUGACUGAGGAUCCUGGCGACCACCCACCUCCAAUAUUUCUCCUCCUAUUUCCCUACCCUUCAGUUUUUAUAACUCCAACAACAAAGAGGAUAUAAACACAAUGGCAGAUGGAGGUUUUGAUCCCUUGUGAGUGCAUCUGGAGCCAUGAGAUGGCCAUGAGGAGGCUCCUGUCACUUCUUCGACAGUCACAGAGCUACUGCACAGACACCGAGUGCUACAAUGAAUGUGAGUACCAUAUACUGUAAUUUGUUUGAAGUAGCAACUAAAGCCAGU